GCGCUAUCAGAUGAGCCUAGGUCGGAUUAGCUAGUUGGUGAGGUAAUGGCUCACCAAGGCGACGAUCCGUAACUGGUCUGAGAGGAUGAUCAGUCACACUGGAACUGAGACACGGUCCAGACUCCUACGGGAGGCAGCAGUGGGGAAUAUUGGACAAUGGGCGAAAGCCUGAUCCAGCCAGGCCGCGUGUGUGAAGAAGGUCUUCGGAUUGUAAAGCAAAAGAGAGUUGGGAGGAAGGGCAGUUACCUAAUACGU
rnacentral:rRNA from 1 species